CAAGCCCAGGUUGUCCACCAGCAGCGGUAGAUCACCACCAGGGGGCAGCACUAUGACGUCAGCUGCAACCCAAGAUUUUUAAAAUUACUGAUAGGCUGGUGUCUCAUUUACUGUGGCAGAGGUCUGAUCAUGAUGUUGCCCUGCCCACAGAGUUUGACUGAAUAAUAAUGGUACUGUAGCCUAGUGUUGUAGAAGCAGUACAAUGUUGAUUUGCUUCUGCAGUGCAUUCAUACUUAACCUGGGAUAAAAUGACAAGCAUGCAUUUUUGUUUCAUUUUCAAAGUUAGGCGACGAGGACAUGAUGAGGACAAGCACUGUCAAGUCCUCUUCAGCUCCAAUGAUUAUAUCCAGUGCCCAAGGCUCCACGUCUCUAUGCACCAUUCAUCUCAACACUAACCAAAUGGUGGCUUUGUAACAGUGAUUGUGGGAGGAUGCUGUGCAGGUGUCAACAUGAAUGUGCCGGAGGACUAGAGUAUGCUGGCGUCGACACCCCACCUCCUCCCCUUCAGACUCCAUCGAGGGUUGGUCCCUGUCCUGUGAGGAGAGGAUGCAAUGGGUCUCUGCUUCAGCCGUGGCACCUUCUCUACAACCCUCGCCACUGUCACCAGUUUGUCCCCAUCCUGUGAAGGGGGGUAGGCUUUAGCCCCCUGCCUCAUCAAUCGGCAGGAUAAGCGCCCUCUUCUUUGAAACAGGACAUGUUUUAUUGAUGCUCUACAUGAGUAUUAUAUACAUGUAUAUAGUGCCAUGUGUAUGUUUUUACCUCCCCUACUGAUUUUGUUUACUUUUUUGCACAUUUGGCACACUUAACAUUUUCAGAUAACCACACUAAUAUAAACAUUACCCAUGACCCAAGUAAGCAUAAAAUGCAGUUUCUCAGUGAUUAAUUUAUAUUUUCUCAGAAGCUUUGUAUGCAUUGUCAAUGUUUUUUUUUUUUUUUUUGUAGCAAAUGUGAGACAAGUCUUGAUACUCUCCUUGUCAGAGGUGACUUUGGCCGUUGAACUCUGACAUGCUUGCAAUGUUUACCUAGUCUCUUUCUUAUUGUUGAGUCAUGAACACUUCCAUUUCAUGCGGUAAUUAACACCUCCCAUUGGUAAGAUAUUAUUCUGUGUUCCUUUCUAAACUCUUGGAUCCACAGUCACUGUCUUGGGAUAAUUUUAGUGUGACAGCCAAAAUGUUCACCAUUACAUCAUGUAUUCUCCAUUUAUGGAUAAUGGCUCUCACCAUGGUUUGCAGAUGACCCAAUGAUUUAAGAAAUAACUGAAGAACCUUUUACAGUCUGAGACAUGUAAAUUAUUUUUAUUACAACCUGCUCCCGAAUGUCGAUGAUUCACAGUGUGAUGUCAUGGGUUCGAUAUGAAUUAUCUCUUGGUUUGAAAGGCCAGGUAGUAGUCAGACUUGGGCAGCUGUGAAAUAUAACUCUGCUAUCCAAAAUGAUUUAGAUUAAUCACAGAUACCUUCUCAUUUAACAAUUUACUUUUUCACACAGGCUCAUGCAGGUUUUAUGGCAUUUUUCUAACAAAUGAAAUAACCACUGGAACACUGCAUUUCACGUUUGCUUGGGUCAUUCUUGUUUAAUGUUUACUGUGUUCAGUGAUCUAUACACAACAAAAUUGCAUUUUAUG